rnacentral:RNase_P_RNA from 1 species
GUCGGGCGGUCUGUCGCUGAGCAUUUUCUUCGGAGAAUGAAAAGAGGAAAGUCCGGGCAACACAGGGCAUCAUAUUUCCUAACGGGAAGCUGUUCGCGAGGGCAGAGUAAGGUAACAGAAAAUAACCGCCCCUAUCGGGGUAAGGGUGAAAAGGUGAGGUAAGAGCUCACCGGUCUUCGUAGCAAUAUGAAGAGCCGUACUACUUAUGAGUUGCAAGACCAUGUAUACCGACGCACGUAGGGCUGCCCGCCCGAUGUCGGGGGGUAGGUCGCUAGAGCCUGAUGGUGACAUCAGGUGUAGAUAAAUGGCAGGCACUCUGCUUUAUGCAGAGUACAGAACCCGGCUUAUAGCCCGACUGU